CUGCUCAAUGGAAAGCAGCAGCACAUAUACAAAAAUUGGAACGAUACAGAGAAGAUUAGCAUGGCCUCUGAGCAAGGAUGACAUGCAAAUUUGUGAAGCGUUCCGUAUUUUU
rfam:Gavia stellata contig53491, whole genome shotgun sequence.